rnacentral:rRNA from 1 species
AAUAGUACGUGAAAUUGCUGAAAGGGAAGCGCUUAUGACCAGACUUGGGCGCGGCGGAUCAUCCGGCGUUCUCGCCGGUGCACUCCACCGCCCCAGGCCAGCAUCAGUUCGCGCCGGGGGACAAAGGCUUCGGGAAUGUGGCUCCCUCGGGAGUGUUAUAGCCCGUUGCGUAAUACCCUGGUGCGGACUGAGGUCCGCGCUCUGCAAGGAUGCUGGCGUAAUGGUCAUCAGUGACCCGUCUUGAAACACGGACCAAGGAGUCGUCUUCGUAUGCGAGUGUUCGGGUGUCAAACCCCUACGCGGAAUGAAAGUGAACGUAGGAGAGAGCUUCGGCGCAUCUCCGACCGAUCCUGAUGUUCUCGGAUGGAUUUGAGUAAGAGCAUACGGGGCCGGACCCGAAAGAAGGUGAACUAUGCCUGUGUAGGGUGAAGCCAGAGGAAACUCUGGUGGAGGCUCGCAGCGGUUCUGACGUGCAAAUCGAUCGUCAAACAUGGGCAUGGGGGCGAAAGACUAAUCGAACCUUCUAGUAGCUGGUUUCCGCCGAAGUUUCCCUCAGGAUAGCAGUGUUGAACUCAGUUUUAUGAGGUAAAGCGAAUGAUUAGGGACCCGGGGGCGCUAUAUUGCCUUCAUCCAUUCUCAAACUUUAAAUAUGUAAGAAGCUCUUGUUGCU